AAUGGCUGCAGUAAUUUGACUGUACAAAGGUAGCAUAAUCAUUAGUUUUUUAAUUAAAAGCUUGUAUGAAAGGCUGGACGAAGUAAAUUCUGUCUCUUUUUAAGAUAAUUAGAAUUUAAUUUUUAAGUUAAAAAGCUUAAAUUUUUAUAAAAGACGAGAAGACCCUAUAGAGUUUUAUAAUUUUAAAGAAAUAAUUAAUUUAGAUUUAUUAUUUUUAUUUUUUUAUAUUUAUUUUAUUGGGGUAAUAAAAAGAUUGAAUUAAUUCUUUUUUAAAAAAUACAUUAAUUUAUGAAAAAAUGAUCCAUUAUUUAUGAUUAUAAGAUUAAAUUACCUUAGGGAUAACAGCGUAAUUUUUUUGAAGAGUUCAUAUCGAUAAAAAAGUUUGCGACCUCGAUGUUGGAUUAAAGAUUAGUUUAGGUGUAGAAGUUUAAAUUUUUGGUCUGUUCGACCAUUAAAUCUUUACAUGAUCUGAGUUCAAACCGGUGUAAGCCAGGUUGGUUUCUAUCUUUAUAGUAGUUUUAUGUUUUAGUACGAAAGGACCAAAUAUAUAAUAUAUUAAUAUUUAAAUUUUGAAUAU
rnacentral:rRNA from 1 species